AUACGAAGGUCCCAAGCGUUAUUCGGAAUCACUGGGCGUAAAGAGUACGUAGGCGGUUUGGUAAGUCAGGUGUGAAAUCCCGGAGCUCAACUCCGGAACUGCAUCCGAUACUGCCAGACUUGAGUAAUGGAGAGGCAGGUGGAAUUCUCGGUGUAGCAGUGAAAUGCGUGGAUAUCGAGAGGAAGACCAAUGGCGAAGGCAGCCUGCUGGACAUUUACUGACGCUGAGGUACGAAGGCUAGGGGAGCGAAAGGGAUUAGAAACCCGAGUAGUCC
rnacentral:rRNA from 1 species